rnacentral:misc_RNA from 1 species
UUAGUGGGGGGCGACUCGUCG